GGGGGUUCAGAUCUUUUACAUACGGAACGUACCCUGUUGUGGGGGAUAACUAGUCGAAAGAUUAGCUAAUACCGCAUACGACCUGAGGGUGAAAGCGGGGGACCGAAGGCCUCGCGCAGCAGGAGCGGCCGAUGUCUGAUUAGCUAGUUGGUGGGGUAAAGGCCCACCAAGGCGACGAUCAGUAGCUGGUCUGAGAGGACGAUCAGCCACACUGGGACUGAGACACGGCCCAGAUCCUACGGGAGGCAGCAGUGGGGAAUUUUGGACAAUGGGGGCAACCCUGAUCCAGCAAUGCCGCGUGUGUGAAGAAGGCCUUCGGGUUGUAAAGCACUUUUGUCCGGAAAGAAAUUGCUCUGGCUAAACCUGGGGUAGAUGACGGUACCGGAAGAAUAAGCACCGGCUAACUACGUGCCAGCAGCCGCGGUAAUACGUAGGGUGCGAGCGUUAAUCGGAAUUACUGGGCGUAAAGCGUGCGCAGGCGGUUUUGUAGACAGGCGUGAAAUCCCCGGGCUCAACCUGGGAAUUGCGCUUGUGACUGCAAGGCUAGAGUGCGUCAGAGGGGGGUAGAAUUCCACGUGUAGCAGUGAAAUGCGUAGAGAUGUGGAGGAAUACCGAGGCGAAGGCAGCCCCUGGGACGUGACUGACGCUCAUGCACGAAAGCGUGGGGAGCAAACAGGAUUAGAUACCCUGGUAGUCCACGCCCUAAACGAUGUCAACUAGUUGUUGGGGAUUCAUUUUCUCAUAACGUAGCUAACGCGUGAAGUUGACCGCCUGGGGAGUACGGUCGCAAGAUUAAAACUCAAAGGAAUUGACGGGGACCCGCACAAGCGGUGGAUGAUGUGGAUUAAUUCGAUGCAACGCGAAAAACCUACCUACCCUUGACAUGCCACUAACGAAGCAGAGAUGCAUUAGGUGCCCGAAAGGGAAAGUGGACACAGGUGCUGCAUGGCUGUCGUCAGCUCGUGUCGUGAGAUGUUGGGUUAAGUCCCGCAACGACGCAACCCUUGUCUCUAGUUGCUACGCAAGAGCACUCUAGAGAGACUGCCGGUGACAAACCGGAGGAAGGUGGGGAUGACGUCAAGUCCUCAUGGCCCUUAUGGGUAGGGCUUCACACGUCAUACAAGGUGCGUACAGAGGGUUGCCAACCCGCGAGGGGGAGCUAAUCCCAGAAAACGCAUCGUAGUCCGGAUCGUAGUCUGCAACUCGACUACGUGAAGCUGGAAUCGCUAGUAAUCGCGGAUCAGCAUGCCCGGUGAAUACGUUCCCGGGUCUUGUACACACCGCCCGUCACACCAUGGGAGUGGGUUUUGCCAGAAGUAGUUAGCCUAACCGCAAGGAGGGCGAUUACCACGGCAGGGUUCAUGACUGGGGUGAAGUGUAACCAAGAAGCCUUAUGG
rnacentral:rRNA from 1 species